rnacentral:sRNA from 1 species
GCGCGGCCUCCGCCGAGUCCGACACGUUCGGAGCCGGGGACCCACCACGAUCUCUUGGGGUGAAUCGGUCCCGUACACACCCGGUACGGAACCGUAGGGCAGCCUUCCGGAUCACCCGCCCGAACCCGACAGCUAACCCGGUAGGCGGUCCACGGAAGGAGUC